rnacentral:piRNA from 1 species
GGGAGUGGAAAGAUGGAUUUUCUG